UCCCUGGUGGUCCAGUGGUUAAGACUCUGUGCUUUCACUGCAGGGGGCUUGAGUUUGAUUCCUACUCAGGGAA
rnacentral:tRNA from 1 species